rnacentral:lncRNA from 1 species
ACAGACACACAGUGGAGAAAGCCAUGUGAAGACAGAAGCAGAGAUUUGAGUAACGCAUGUAUAAACUAAGGAACACAAAGGAUUUCCAGGACCUCCAAAAAGGAAGUAUGGUGUUGAUGAGCUUGAGUGAGAAAAAAAAUGGAUUUGGGUUAGAAGACUUGGGAUCUUGCACUUACCAGGUGCUGAAUGUGGAGAGGCAAAUAAAAUGGACACACAAGCCUUGACCUCUUGGAGUGAUUAUGAUCAAGAUUAUGAUCAUUGUGACACACAUUAAUCCAGGAAGCAAACAAGUGUGAAAACAGAGCUGCAGAGGUGACACUUGGAUGCCCCCUGGCCAGGUGGUGACUAGAGGUCAGAUCUCUUCUCUAGUUGAGUGGUAGUCCAGGUUCCUGGGCUCUUUCCGCCCUGACCUACAGGCCUGACAGAGCCGUCAAAACAUGAGAGCCCUCUUUCUAAUCAUCUCACUUCUUGGAAAAAAUAGAAUGGGUGGUGUUCUAUACUAUCAACAACAGUAAUUCUCAAAUUGCUGCAUAUCAGAAUCAUGUGGACAGUUUUGAAAUACCUAGUGUCCAGACUGCACCCCAGACAAACUAAAUCUAGUGAGGGGCCAUCUGAAACUCCCCAGAUCUGUGAGUCUGUGAGCAUAGCUCUGCUUCAUGCUGCAGAUCUUCAGGUUGGCUGGGGUGGCUGAGUGUGUGGCUCAGACUGAAGGAACAGCAGCUACCCAAGGUUAGCUCUUCUCCUGGUGAAGCGUGGAAAGAACAGACGGGGUCUCACUCUUUCGACCAGAGUGGAGUGCAGUGGCACGAUCCUGGCUCACCACAACCUCCGCGUCCCAGGCUCAAGCGAUUCUCCUGCCUCAGCCUCCCGAUAGCUGGGAUUAUAGGCACGCACCACCAUGCCCAGCUAAUUUUUGUAUUUUUAGUAAAGAUGGGGUUUCACCAUAUUGGCCAGGCUGGUCUUGAAUUCCUGACCUCAAAUGAUCCACCUGCAUCGGACGCCCAAAGUGCUGGGAUUACAGUUAUGAGCCACCGCCCCCGGCCACCAGGAAAAGUUUUUAAAGGGGCAUGUGCCCCUUUGCAGUUGUUAUUACCUUCUUCCUGCCUUACACGUAGCUGGAUGGCUAGAGUUCCACCAACCAUGUUAUGGACACGAGGCAAUCAUCCCAAAGGGGACUGAGCUGAGAGAAGGAGCCUAAGAUUUUGACGACCUCAUGAAGAUACCAUACCAGCCCUCAGCUGCCUCUCUUUAGAAUACCAGGUAGGUGAGAAAAAAUAAAUGACUUUUUUAAAGUG